UACGAGGGGUGCAAGCGUUGCUCGGAAUUAUUGGGCGUAAAGGGCAGGUAGGUGGUCUUAUUUGUCUUAUGUGAAAUCCUUGGGCUUAACCUAAGAAGUGCGUAAGAAACGGUAAGACUAGAGUCCCAGAGAGGCUUGUGGAAUUCCCGGUGUAGCGGUGAAAUGCGCAGAUAUCAGGAAGAACACCUAUGGCGAAGGCAGCUCUCUGGGACGGUACUGACGCUGAGACGCGAAAGCGUGGGGAGCGAACAGG
rnacentral:rRNA from 1 species